UACGGGAGGCAGCAGUGGGGAAUAUUGCACAAUGGGCGCAAGCCUGAUGCAGCCAUGCCGCGUGUAUGAAGAAGGCCUUCGGGUUGUAAAGUACUUUCAGUAGUGAGGAAGGUGGGUAUGUUAAUAGCAUAUUCAUUUGACGUUAGCUGCAGAAGAAGCACCGGCUAACUCCGUGCCAGCAGCCGCGGUAAUACGGAGGGUGCGAGCGUUAAUCGGAAUUACUGGGCGUAAAGCGCAUGCAGGUGGUUUGUUAAGUCAGAUGUGAAAGCCCGGGGCUCAACCUCGGAAUUGCAUUUGAAACUGGCAAACUAGAGUACUGUAGAGGGGGUAGAAUUUCAGGUGUAGCGGUGAAAUGCGUAGAGAUCUGAAGGAAUACCGGUGGCGAAGGCGGCCCCCUGGACAGAUACUGACACUCACGAUGCGAAAGCGUGGGGACGCAAACAGGAUUAGAUCCCUGGUAG
rnacentral:rRNA from 1 species